AAGCAUAUUCUAGUUUCUCAGUUUUCUUGCAGCACGCAUUCGUCUGCUUGUGAAUAAAAAGUAUCAAAAAUUGUAUUAUACGUUUUUGUUAUAAAAUGUGUUGUUCUUUGGUUAUACAAAAUGUGUUUUUCAUUUCGGCAAUAGUGAUCUUAAUACUCAAUUUAGUUUUCAUUGGUUUGUCUGUUAUUUUCACUUUGAAGAAUAAAGAAAUGGAAAAGGCCAGUCCUCGAGAAUCCCUGUCUCCGUCGACCCUCCAAUGGAGGGAUGGACCUCGUGCCGGCAGUGUACCACAAGUCUUAAUGUACCAGGCGCUGGUACGAGUUAGUGUUGGAUCCAGACAAAAUUAAAUUUGCUUACUCAUUACUUUUCAAUUGGAUGAUAACUGUCAAUAAAACCUGUGAUGUGUUACAUUUCAAAUUUUUUGGUACUUAUUUUAUAAUUUAUAAUAUUGUAUAAAUCUUAUAAAUAAAUCCGAAUUCGUACAAAAAGUC